AUUUUAUUUUCAGUUUCAUGUAUAUGUAAUAAUAAUUAAUCACUCAUAACUCCUUUUUCUUAAUUUGAUCUUGUUUUAUCAAACCUGUUUAUACAAACUAAACUAGUAUUGUUCUUCAUAUAAUUUCAGAUUGUAUCAAUCAUAUAAGUUUGAUCUGAUUCAUUCAAACUUUGAAAGUCAAUGGUUACUACCAAUGAAGUUUCAUCUUCAUCUUCUUCUAGAUGGCAAAAUUUCUAUACAAGAAUUACAACAUCAUUGGCUUCAGCUUUACUUGAAUGGUUAUUGAUCAUUUUCUUAUUUAUUAGUGCUAUUUUCUCUUAUGUUAUUACUAAAUUUGCUAAUUACUGCAAAUUGAAAACACCAUGUUUGUUUUGUUCAAGGCUUGAUCAUGUUUUAGGCAAACAGAAAAGAGGUUACUAUUUAGAUUUGAUUUGUAGUCUUCAUAAGUCUGAAAUUUCUGAAUUAGUUUUUUGUCGUGCCCACGACAAGCUUGUAAAUAUUCAAGGAGUUUGUGAAACUUGUGUCUUGUCUUCUGCAACCGUCGAUAAAUCCAAUGCUGAGACUUCCCGGUUAUUGGUUGGUAAAUCAGGGGAAGAAGAAGAAUCUGGAUCUGUAUUUGAUCAUGAUCCAUUACUUGGUCAACAUACAGUUGCUGGACACUGUUCUUGUUGUAGUGAGAAAUUCCAGUUAGAUGGUCAUGAUCAAAAUUUGGUAUUUGCCAAGUCAAUUCGGUCUAGGGCUGUUGAUUUCGAUGAUUCCGGUGUUGUUGGAAAUGAUUUUUACGGGAAAAGAACUGCAAAGCUAUCUGUAUCAUUCAGAGAUGCACGACUGAGAAACGAUCAUGCGGAUCCUUUGUCCCGUGUAGGUUACACAGAACUUAACAUUACUUCUGAUACCGAGUCUGAAUUUGAAGUUCCCAUAUCAGAUGACGACGGUAUAAGUAUACCAAUUCACGGGAAAGAUGAUACCAAGGAAGAUAUAAGAGUUCCAUGUGAAUAUAUGGAGCUUUGCAGUGUUGAUUCAACUGAGGAUCUGACUUCCGGGAAGCCUGGGACUUCAGCUUCUGUACUUGAGCCAUUGUUGUCAGAACCACGAGUACAAGUAGAAAACAAAGAUAUUUGUGCUAUUAAAACCGCAGAAGCAAUAGUGGAAAGUGGAAAUGGUUUGACAGAACUUGACUGGCAGCAGAUUGAAAGAAGUGAUGUUUGUCCGUCCCCAAGCGAGCCUAUUUCCUUCAACGAUGUUCCUAUAUUAUCAAAUAUAACAGAAGUGCCUGUUGAAGUAUCAAAGGAAAAGUAUGAUUUUAGAACUGACGAAGAGGAGCUAACAUCUGAGCGAAGACCCGCCAUGGACCGUGAAGAAAACAUUAAGUCAGGCAAUAAGCUAAUAACAUCUGAAACAGGUUUAGAACCAACCCCAGUUUCUAUUGAUACGUGUCAGCAAAAUUCUAAUUUGCUGGAUCUUGGUGAUGCUUAUAAGCUAGCUGUCAGUAAUAGAGGAAGACAAUUGUCUGGCAUGCUUGCAGAACAUUGGCUUGGGAAAGAUUCCUCAAGAGUUAAUGAAGAUCUAAAGAUAUUGUUGUCACAAUUCUCUGCCACUCGAGGGACUGAUAUGUCUUUUAAUGAUAUCAGUCCUAGAUUGUCUAUGAAUAGCGAAGAAGCAAAGAGUUCUGAUGUUACUAACUCUACUGGAAUGCAGAUACUUCAAAAAAUGAUUUCGCUUGAGAGAAAUGAAUCUGGUUUGUCUCUAGAUGGAAGCAUUGUCAGUGAUAUUGAAGGUGAAAGCCCGGUUGACAAGCUUAAAAGACAAGUUGAUCAUGACAGGAAACUUAUGAAUGCUUUGUAUAAAGAGCUGGAGGAAGAGAGAAACGCUUCUGCAAUUGCUGCAAGUCAAGCUUUAGCUAUGAUCACUAGACUGCAGGAAGAAAAGGCAACAUUACAUAUGGAAGCCUUGCAGCACUUAAGGAUGAUGGAUGAGCAGUCAGAAUAUGAAUUGGAAGCUUUGCAAAAAGCUAAUGACCUUCUUGCUGAGAAGGAGAAGGAGUUAGAAGACUUAGAAGCAAAGGUUGAGUUUUAUAGGAAGAAAUUCCCUGAUGAUUCAAUGCCGGAGAACAUGGUGGAGAAAAACUCUGAAAUGAAGGUAAAAGAUAUUGGAUUGGAUCUUUCACAAUGCACUUUCAUUGAAAAUGAUGAAAGUGGCCCCCGAAAAUCAAAUCCUAAUAUCUAUGACAAAGCUGACCUUCAACUCAUGUCUUCGGAAGAAAAGAAUAUUCAAUCUGCACAAAGUUCACAAAUGGAGUUUCAAGAUGAAAAGUUAUAUAUUUCUGAACGUUUGAAGAAAUUGGAGAGGCAAGUAUACUUUUUCCUGAAUUCUCACCAGUCUCAGGAUAAUUGGCCUAAUUCUGAAAAUGUUGUAAAGGAAUACCCAGAAAACUCUGAAAAGUUGGACAAAAAUAUUCCAAUGGAAGAUUCGGUUUCGUCAUUCAAAUUAAAUUCAGAUGCCAUGGUUGAUGACCCGUCAUCCAAAAAACCUCCAGUUUGCAAGCAAAACGGUGAACUUGAAUACUCUGGACACAACUCCUCUGUUCUAUGUGGAGAUAAUGAUUUAGCUUCUACUGGAAGAUUGGUUUCAGAUUUUAUUGAAAGGUUACAAGCUCUUGAGGCAGACCAUAGUUUCCUUGAGCAUACUAUCAACUUACUGAGCGAUGGAGGUGAAGGGCUUAAGUUAUUGCAGGAAAUAGCUGAUCGUCUGCAACAAUUACGCAGGAUCGGGAUAAGAGAAAUAGAUCAACCUGUUGCUUGAGGAUGUAUAUAAGCAUAUUGAGUAUGGAUAAAUGUCUGUGAUCCAAGAUAAGUAAGGGAAAAUUUCACAAAUAGAACACUUUAUUCUCAAGAUUUUACAGAUUCGUAUACCAAUGAUCAGCCACCAAGAAGGUACAUUGAACAACGGUGAACCAGGUAAACCAUGACUGGUUGCAACUGUACAGUAACAAUAUAGCUUGAUAUCAUCCAGGGUACAAGAAAAUGGGAUUUCAAAUUAUAUUGAGAGCUUUUUCACCCUUCCUUUUUUAGGGGAUAGUUUCCUUGGACAUUUUGCUGCAUUGAGUUGUAAAGGUUUUUCUCUGCCCAUUUGAAUUGUCUUUUACACACUUUUUAUUUUCUUUUGUAAAAUGAAUAAUAAUUGCAAUGAGUGGUUGCUUGUUUAAUUUGUGUCUUCUUGUAUUGAAGUGAGUAUUUUGUAAACAGUGUGAACUAACAUUGUUUGUAUAUGGCUUUUAUUUUAUGUGGUGUUUUUCUCCCU